GCCAUUGCUCCAUGGUUAGAGCACCUGUUUUGCAAGCAGAAGGUCCCAGGUUCAAUCCCUGGCAUCUCCA